GAUGAACGCUGGCGGCGUGCCUAAUACAUGCAAGUCGAGCGGACAGGCGCGGCGCUUGUUCGUCUCUCGUUAGCCGAACACGGGAGUAUCACGCGUGUAUCCCCCCCCUGUCUGACUGGUAUAACUUCGGAACACCGGCGAAUAUCGGGGAGAAUCUCUUGCUCCGCGGGGUUGGAUGGUGAGAGUCGGUGUUGCUGUAUCGUCUCGCGGCUUCCGAGCCGGAUUGGCUAGUUGGUACGGUAACGGCUUACGACGGGGACGAGGCGUAGCCGACCUGAGAGGGUGAUCGGCGACAUUGGAACUGAGACACGGUCCAGACUCCUACGGGAGGCAGCAGUAGGGAAUCUUCCGCAAUGGGCGAAAGCCUGACGGAGCAACGCCGCGUGAGAGAUAAAGGUCUCCGGAUCGUAAAACUGUGUUAUUAGGGAAGAACAAAUGUGUAAGUAAAUAUGCACGGCUUGACGGUACCUAAUCAGAAAGCCACGGCUAACUACGUG
rnacentral:rRNA from 1 species